ensembl:rRNA 5S_rRNA 5S ribosomal RNA
GUUUACAGCCAUACCACCCUGAACAUUUCCUAUCUCUGCUGACCUCAGAAGCUAAACAGGGUUGGGCAAUGUUAGUACUUGGAUGGGAGAAAGUUGGGGUUAUACCACAGUGCUUCUAGUUGUGAACU